CAGUCGCCGCGGUAAUACGAGGGGGGCAAGCGUUGUUCGGAAUCAUUGGGCGUAAAGGGUGCGUAGGCGGCUUGACAAGUCUUGUGUGAAAUCUAUGGGCUCAACCCAUAGUCUGCACGGGAAACUGUCGGGCUUGAGAAUGGGAGAGGUGAGUGGAAUUUCCGGUGUAGCGGUGAAAUGCGUAGAUAUCGGAAGGAACACCUGUGGCGAAAGCGGCUCACUGGACCAUUUCUGACGCUGAUGCACGAAAGCUAGGGGAGCAAACAGGAUUAGAUACCCCAGUAGUCCCUGUCUCUUAUAC
rnacentral:rRNA from 1 species